rnacentral:rRNA from 1 species
GACGAACGCUGGCGGCGUGCCUAAUACAUGCAAGUAGAACGCUGAAGGAGGAGCUUGCUUCUCUGGAUGAGUUGCGAACGGGUGAGUAACGCGUAGGUAACCUGCCUGGUAGCGGGGGAUAACUAUUGGAAACGAUAGCUAAUACCGCAUAAUAGUAGAUGUUGCAUGACAUUUGCUUAAAAGGUGCAAUUGCAUCACUACCAGAUGGACCUGCGUUGUAUUAGCUAGUUGGUGAGGUAACGGCUCACCAAGGCAACGAUACAUAGCCGACCUGAGAGGGUGAUCGGCCACACUGGGACUGAGACACGGCCCAGACUCCUACGGGAGGCAGCAGUAGGGAAUCUUCGGCAAUGGGGGGAACCCUGACCGAGCAACGCCGCGUGAGUGAAGAAGGUUUUCGGAUCGU